UCAGAGACACAGGGACGUGGAGAGAGACUGGGGGUAGACGGCUAGGCCAUACCCCUUCCUCCUCCUGGGGGGCACUGGACCAGUGGGAAAGGGGCACCAACAAGGCCAUAUUGCAGAGGGGGCAGUUGGGGAGCCAAUAAGUACCAUCCAUGGUGCUAAUGAGCAUCAGAGGAGAAGCAGAGGGAGAGGGCAGGCAGGAAAGAGGAUCUCAGUUCUCUGCCUGUCUGUCUGCAGGGACCAGAGCUCUGGGGACACAGACAAGGCAUUAGGCAGGACCUGGCCACAGUGAGGGACUCUGCAGACAGCACAGGGUGUGGCAAAGUCUGCUCCCAGCUCUAUAAAUAGCACUGAGGCCUGAAACAUGCACAGGGUUCUGCCGAAGAUGAAGCGGGCUACAGAGCACACCAGGCUCUGCAACCAGGUCAACACAGACGAUGUUUGUGAGUGCAUGAAUGAAUGAAUGAAUGAGUGAAUGAAUGGGAGAGAGGGAGGGAGGGAAGGAGGGGCUAGAUCUUACUCCCUGGUAUAUUCGCAGCACCUAGCGCUGUGCCAUGCACAUAGUAGGUGUGCAUAUAUAUUGUCAAAUGGACGAAGACAGGAGUAUCCACCUGCCUCCCUCUCCACGAGACCCCCAGAGCUUCCUACAGUGCCCGGCAGGCGGCAGAUGUGCGAUGAUUGUGUAUUUAACAAAUGUAUUAUUGGGUGAACGGACAGAUAGAAAACUGAGUUACGGGCUCCAUCGUCUGUGGGGGUGUCUGGGGCUUUAGUUUGGGAAGGAGAUGGGUGGAGUCUGGACGCCAGAGAGGUGGAGGAGGGGUACGGUACCUCUAAGCGGGGCCUCAGUGCUUGGUCAGGCUAGUGACCCUCACUCUCCUCCCCUGCCCAAUGCCCGAAGCCGACACCAGCCCUUCAACCACCUCACCUGCCAGGGAUUGCAACAUGACACCCCCAGGCUUCCUAAAUUCCCCUGGCCUCCAGCAGCCAAGAGCAGGCACAGUGGGGAGGAAUGGAAACCAGGCAUGGGUAAAACACCUCCCAUCUUUCUGGCUGAGACCCCAUGUUCAUACCUCACCCACCCCAGUCCUCGCUCUGUCCUAACCCCGGGAAACAAACCAGAACUGAGUACAUGGAGAAGGGUGUAGAGUUGCCUGGGCCAUCCACUGGCUCCCGUCCAACUCCAGCUCCCAGGCGGCAUCAUGUAGGGGUCCCUUGCCCAUAUGACUGGCCUCCUCAGCCAGGAAGAAGAGCCUGUGAGCAGCCUGAGGCAGGCAGGGACCCAAGAACAGUCGCAGGAAGGUGCCACAGAAGCCGAGGAGAGGCGGACAGAGCAGGAAGACAAGGACACCAAGAAAGUCUGGAACUCUGGCCCCUGCCUCCUCACCACAAGCAGGCAGGACACAGUGAGCAACAAAGAACCACCAACCAGCCACCGAACCGAAGAUUUAUUGAACGCCUGCCGUGCUACGACCUUCAGGCACAGGGGUUCACCUCUACAUCCUGUAUGUGGCUGUACAGCACCAGACUGUCUCCGAUUUUAAAUGGACUCUUCUCCAUUACGAACAGCAUGGAACAGACACAAUUGGCUGAAACCCGCUCAGGAGUAAAAAUACAAAUAGAAGUUUUUAAAGAUCAGGAUGAAGAAAGAAAAAUGCCCUAAGAUGUUACAGCUUCUCUCAAUUUUCCCCCAGAUGCCCCCCAAAGUGUUAAUGUGUAAAUAACUAAUCAUUUCAGCUAAUUAUUUAUUUCAACCAACCAAUUUAUGUCAACUGUUUGAUUAACUUAUCACAUAAACUGCUUUCAAUCAAA